GUGUCUGCUUUGCAAGCACAUACACUAAAACUGGAAUGACACAUAGAAGAUUAGCAUGGCCCCUGAAAACAGAUGACAUGCAAAUUCAUGAAGGGCUCCAUAUAUAU
rnacentral:snRNA from 1 species